GACGGAGGAUGCAAGCGUUAUCCGGAAUGAUUGGGCGUAAAGCGUCCGCAGGUGGCAGUUCAAGUCUGCUGUCAAAGACCGGGGCUUAACUUCGGAAAGGCAGUAGAAACUGAACAGCUAGAGUAUGGUAGGGGCAGGGGGAAUUCCUGGUGUAGCGGUGAAAUGCGUAGAGAUCAGGAGGAACACCGAUGGCGAAGGCAGGUCUCUGGGCCACUACUGACGCUGAGAAGCGAAAGCAUGGGGAGCAAACGGG
rnacentral:rRNA from 1 species